AGUGAACGCUGGCGGUAGGCCUAACACAUGCAAGUCGAACGGCAGCACAGUAAGAGCUUGCUCUUACGGGUGGCGAGUGGCGGACGGGUGAGGAAUACAUCGGAAUCUACUUUUCGUGGGGGAUAACGUAGGGAAACUUACGCUAAUACCGCAUACGACCUACGGGUGAAAGCAGGGGAUCUUCGUACCUUGUGCGAUUGAAUGAGCCGAUGUCGGAUUAGCUAGUUGGCGUGGUAAAGGCCCACCAAGGCGACGAUCCGUAGCUGGUCUGAGAGGAUGAUCAGCCACACGGGAAGUGAGACAGGGUCGCGACUCCUACGGGAGGAAGCAGUGGGGAAUAUUGGACAAUGGGCGCAAGCCUGAUACAGCCAUACCGCGUGGGUGAAGAAGGCCUUCGGGUUGUAAAGCCCUUUUGUUGGGAAAGAAGAGCAGCCGGUUAAUCCGCGGCUAUUCUGACGGUACCGAAAGAAUAAGCACCGGCUAACUUCGUG
rnacentral:rRNA from 1 species